GCCCGCCCCGGGGGACGGAAAUCAAUCAACCCUCACCCCGGGUCGUCCCCGAGUCGGCCCCGGUGGAGUUCCGGGCCUUCCCCUCUUUCGAUUGGUCAUCCGUGUAACUCCACCACCAGUUCGAGAUUCUUUUACAGCCUAGUUGGUGGUGGGGUUUUGUUUUUUUUUUCUCCUUCCACUUGUAUCUUGCAGAUAUUCUGUAGGUUCGGUGCCAUCCCGGUUGUUAUCUUGCAGACUGGCUGGAGGAGGGAAACGGUAGGGGUGAUUCCGGCCAACUGCAGUCCUUUGAACCGCUGCUGAAGCCUCCCAGAGCAGUCUGUCUCUGCUUCCCAGCUCAAUCACUGUGCUACUAAUCUUUUCCCAGAAAAUAGGAUGUGUACCUUCUGUGCUUCAGGUAGCGUUUUUAAAUCGUGACUGCAGCUCUAAAGAAACAGUCAUCAAACCAAGUACUGCCGCAAGGUGUGAGAAGAAUUUAAACCCCUUCCAGUGUGCAACCAUCCUCUAAGGCAGGAGUCUCCAACGCCCCCACCCCUCGUUAGAAACGGGACCACACAGCAGGAGGUGAGCAGUUGCCUUCCUUGAAACUGGUCCUUGGUGCCAAAAAUGUUGGGGACCACUGCUCUAAGGGACGAUGUUGUCGACCUUUUUAGGCCCUCAUGACUUCAGUCAACUCAAGUUUGGACUCUGUGAUCACCCAAGCCCCUUCA